CAUGGUGUCAAUGCACCCUUAAUCAGUUUCGAAGAAUGAACCUCUAAUGGUAGUUUUGCUGUGGGGAUCCUCCCUUACUCAUCACAAUUGUUCCAGUACAUUGAAAAACACCAAUCUUAUUUGAAAAUCAACAUUAAUGUGUUAUUUUCAUAUGUACAGAAGUACCUGUGAUAUCACAGAAAAAAAAUAAUGCUUAUAUAAGUUACUAGGUCUUGCAGAUGCUUUACAUGUGUUUUCAAUGUGUCUAGUGUCUGUAUUUGGCUCACAAAUCCCUCUGGUCUGCUGCUCACACAUUCUGACAUCCAUACCCCUUCCAGAGCAGUGGAUGCAAUGAGCCCGCCCUUACUCACCAUGCAUUCACUUCCUCCCUAAGUCUGCUGUACUGUGUUGUUUCUCUCCAUCAUCUCCAUCACUGCAGGCUGCUCUGUAACCCCCUCUUCUCUGUUUUUAUGAUGCAGUCUGAUAGACAGGACAGGAGUUAGCACAGAGGAUUGCUAGUCCUGCUCUCACUUCCCGCACUUUGUCCCAGCCUGUGCUUCAGAGAGGAUUAUGUUCUGAUUGAGAUACUGUGGAGUCAUACAUUCGAUAGGAACAUUUGCUGUCAGAUAUCAUACAGACCUCCAGCUGAAGGACGAAUUUCUGGAUCUUUCACUAGACACCUUUUGAUGACAUCACGAAGAACAAGAGGACAUGAGGCAGAAGCAAUCAAUCAAUCAGAUUCCAAACUCUCCACCAUGGCCAAAGAGCUGUCCUAGGAUGUCAGGAACAAAAUUAUAGACCUACACAAGUCUGGAAUGGACUACAAGACCAUCGCCAAGCAGCUUGGAAGUGACAUCGGUGGAACGCACGUCUGGUCAGGUGACCUGACGUCCGCUGGAUGCCACUUAAGCAGAGGAGCACGGACCAUGUGACCUUACCGGAAGCAUGGGGGAACGCCGGACCCGGGAAAGAGCGCGGAAAAAGCAAGAAACAUCCGGUAAGCAAUUGUUUUACAUGUAUUUAAACUGUGUUAAUAUUGUCCAUGUCAUGCCUGAUGAAAGAGGUAACGGAAGCCUUUUUAACCUCAGAAACGCGUUGCCCAUAAAAACUCAUGAAUAUGUACAAUAGCCUGAUCUAUUUGUCCAUAUGACCGGUUGGAGAUAGAAGAAUACACUACAUGCCAUCCUGGAGGGGGGUAUGUAAAUUUCUUUUGUAUCCCCCAAACGCGGAGUAAAUCAGAAUUCCAUAUAUAUUGCACUUUCCUUCUCCUAAACUGAUGCCCUCCUGAGCGCUGGUUGUUUUUUCCUUUUAAAAAUACCAUUAUAGUCUAUGGGAUUGUUCUAAUACACGUUUUAACCCGUUCUUGUCCGUCAUUUAUAAUGCACGUUAUUUUGGGACGGGAGAUAGUGCAUGCACUAUUUCUCCCGCUACUAUCUCCCGU